AUUGAACGCUGGCGGCAGGCCUAACACAUGCAAGUCGAACGGUAGCACAGAGAGCUUGCUCUCGGGUGACGAGUGGCGGACGGGUGAGUAACGUCUGGGAAACUGCCCGAUGGAGGGGGAUAACUACUGGAAACGGUAGCUAAUACCGCAUAACGUCGCAAGACCAAAGUGGGGGACCUUCGGGCCUCACACCAUCGGAUGUGCCCAGAUGGGAUUAGCUAGUAGGUGGGGUAAUGGCUCACCUAGGCGACGAUCCCUAGCUGGUCUGAGAGGGUGACCAGCCGCACGGGAACUGAGACACGGCCCAGACGCAUACGGGCGGCAGCAGUGGGGAAUAUUGCACAAUGGGCGCAAGCCUGAUGCAGCCAUGCCGCGUGUAUGAAGAGGGCCUUCGGGUUGUAAAGUACUUUCAGCGGGGAGGAAGGCGGUGAAGUUAAUAACUUCACCGAUUGACGUUACCCGCAGAAGAAGCACCGGCUAACUCCGUGCCAGCAGCCGCAGUAA
rnacentral:rRNA from 1 species